AACGAACGCUGGCGGCAUGCCUAAUACUUGCAAGUCGAACGAGAUCUUCGGAUCUAGUGGCGCACGGGUGCGUAACGCGUGGGAAUCUACCCUUGGGUUCGGAAUAACUUCGGGAAACUGAAGCUAAUACCGGAUGAUGACGUAAGUCCAAAGAUUUAUCGCCCAGGGAUGAGCCCGCGUAGGAUUAGCUAGUUGGUGGGGUAAAGGCCUACCAAGGCGACGAUCCUUAGCUGGUCUGAGAGGAUGAUCAGCCACACUGGGACUGAGACACGGCCCAGACUCCUACGGGAGGCAGCAGUAGGGAAUAUUGGACAAUGGGCGCAAGCCUGAUCCAGCAAUGCCGCGUGAGUGAUGAAGGCCUUAGGGUUGUAAAGCUCUUUUACCCGAGAUGAUAAUGACAGUAUCGGGAGAAUAAGCCCCGGCUAACUCCGUGCCAGCAGCCGCCGUAAAAC
rnacentral:rRNA from 1 species